AAAACCGAGUCAACAGUCAGCAAUAAAAACAACAAAUAUCAGCCAGAGGAAAAGAAAAAGAAAGAACAAAAGAGAACAAGGGAAAAAACACUUUCCUAAUGGAACUUUAUGGUAUCUGAGUAAAGCUCCAUCACCAAAGUCAGACCCAGACAUGUCCUAGUCCACGCAAUCUAAACUGUCCUGUAGCGUAGAAUCUAAACUGUACCACCAGCAUUGUUUGGUUCUGAGGGCGGGUUUAAGUUUGCACGAGCAGGAGGGAAGCGUGAUCUGAUUUGAAGACAGGGCGGGGGGUGGGAUUUGUAGGCAUCCCAGAAGAAGUCCACUAUGAACAUCGCUGACUCUCUAGUGGUCGAGUUUAAUAGCUGUUACUGAGAAACUACAUGCUGCUAGAUCAGCCAAGCUGUCAUCUGUCCUCAUCCUACUCGACCUGUCAGCAGCGUUUAACACAAGACUUCAGACUUGGAAUUCAUCGAGCAGCAUGGCAAUGAUCUGAGUCUGGACCUGGUUUUGUACUGAACACACAAGUUCAUUAGAUCACUUGGUGUGAACAGGAACGAUGAUCAGACUCUUUGUCGCUCUUUGUGCUCUUUUUUCUCUCUUCACAGCUGUGAAAACUUCUGACAUCAAGGAGAUUGACGUGAUAACAGUAAAGCGUGGAGAAGAUGUAACUAUGAAGUGUAGCAUUAGCAGUGUCACAAAGAAAGAUAGUGUAGUUUGGUACAGACAGAUUUCAGGAAAAUUACCUCAGUUUAUUGCAAAACAAUACAAUAAAGAAUUGGGCUACAAAUUUAUUGAUGGAUUUAAUGAUGAUCGUUUCAGUUUUAGUGUAAAUGACAGUAAAUUUGAUCUCAGUAUUAAAAAAACAAGAGAAGAUGAUGAAGGAGAAUAUUUCUGUGGAGAAAUGGAAGGAAGUGUAGUGAAGUUCACAUCUGGAACACGUCUGCAAUUUAAAGAUAAAGAGACGACACACCGUCCAACACUUGGAACACCCAUGUGCAAUGAAAUGAGUGAGAGCUGUACUGCUAACAUGCGUCUGUUCUUCUGGCUCUCCAUUUCAAGAAUCGGAGUUCUCAGUGUUACAGUUAUUAUAAUUACAAUAUGGUACAAGGUUUUAAAAUCAGGAUCUAAAACUUGAUAAUUAUCUUGUUUAAUAAUAAUAUAUAAUAUAAUGAAUAUAAUAAUAUAUAAUUAAUAAUAAUUGUCUUUUAACUGUUGUCUGUGUCGCUCUAACUGUAUUUUC